UACGGAGGGAGCUAGCGUUGUUCGGAAUUACUGGGCGUAAAGCGCACGUAGGCGGCUUUGUAAGUUAGAGGUGAAAGCCCGGGGCUCAACUCCGGAACUGCCUUUAAGACUGCAUCGCUUGAAUCCGGGAGAGGUGAGUGGAAUUCCGAGUGUAGAGGUGAAAUUCGUAGAUAUUCGGAAGAACACCAGUGGCGAAGGCGGCUCACUGGACCAGUACUGACGCUGAGGUGCGAAAGCGUGGGGAGCAAACAGG
rnacentral:rRNA from 1 species